GUGCUCACUUCCGUAUAGCACAUAUACGAAAAUUGGAAUGAUACAGAGAAGAUGCGUGGCCCCUGUGCAAGAAUAACAUGCAAAUUUGUGAAGUGUUCCUUAUUUUU
rnacentral:snRNA from 1 species